CAGUCGCCACGGUAAUACGAAGGGGGCUAGUGUUACUCGGAAUUACUGGGCGUAAAGGGCGCGUAGGCGGCACGAUUAGUCAGGCGUGAAAUUCCUGGGCUCAACCUGGGGACUACGCUUGAUACGGUCGAGCUAGAGGAUGGAAGAGGGUUGUGGAAUCCCCAGUGUAGAGGUGAAAUUCGUAGAUAUUGGGAAGAACACCGGUGGCGAAGGCGGCAACCUGGUCCACUACUGACGCUGAGGCGCGACAGCGUGGGGAGCAAACAGGAUUAGAUACCCCAGUAGUCCCUGUCUCUUAUAC
rnacentral:rRNA from 1 species